rnacentral:rRNA from 1 species
AGUGAACGCUGGCGGUAGGCCUAACACAUGCAAGUCGAACGGCAGCACAGUAAGAGCUUGCUCUUACGGGUGGCGAGUGGCGGACGGGUGAGGAAUACAUCGGAAUCUACUUUUUCGUGGGGGAUAACGUAGGGAAACUUACGCUAAUACCGCAUACGACCUACGGGUGAAAGCAGGGGAGCUUCGGACCUUGCGCGAUUGAAUGAGCCGAUGUCGGAUUAGCUAGUUGGCGGGGUAAAGGCCCACCAAGGCGACAAUCCGUAGCGGGUCUGAGAGGAUGAUCAGCCACACUGGAACUGAGACACGGUCCAGACUCCUACGGGAGGCAGCAGUGGGGAAUAUUGGACAAUGGGCGCAAGCCUGAUCCAGCCAUACCGCGUGGGUGAAGAAGGCCUUCGGGUUGUAAAGCCCUUUUGUUGGGAAAGAAAAGCAGCAGGUUAAUACCCCGCCGUUCUGACGGUACCCAAAGAAUAAGCACCGGCUAACUUCGUG